CGCAUAAUGUCUCUUCCAUGGAACUUCAGCUGGAUUCGCAAUCAAAGUCACUGUACAGUGUAAUGUUACAUAUAGCACAAAAUUGCUUGUUUUCUUAUUUAUAGUAUUGUAGGAAAAAAAUAAAACCCAGUGAGGAGCACAAAGAGCAACGCAUUUCACAGUAAUUUGCUCCGAGAGAGAAAGUGCACGUGUACUUCGCGCACGCGGACAGCGCUGCUGCACAACAAAGAGGAGGUGAGAUCAGACGCCGCGUCCCGACACCGACGGGUGUCAAACAGAAGCUACGAUCUUAGCGGAAGGGCGGGAAUGCGCAUGCGCACGGCCAACGUCGUCCACCUGAACUAAAUGGGCACGAGGAAAAUGCUAUGCAAUUUUCAACGGCAUGGGGACGUCAAAAUAAACCGAGACACACCUUGAUCAUAAGUACGAGGCCGCGUGUGCCACCCUGUCCGAGGAGCUUGCGGGGCUAUCGGAGAGACUGGACGAACUGGUGCGGUACCAGGGCAGCCUUCUGACCACCAACUCUCUGCUGAUUUCUUGGAUGCAAAAUGUGGAAGAGCUGUGGAAGCACAGGAGACAGGCUCACCUCACCUUUGAUGCCUGAAUCAUGCAGGUCCAGAAUGAAGAUGAAGGGCAGGUGCUGAUGCUAUGACUUUUGCAUCUUUAAAACCCAAUGCCUACACUAACUGGGGCUGAACGCCCAGACUGCAGCCGAUCGCUGUGUGCUUGAGUUACAGCACAGCCCUUGUCUGUACACAAUAUUAUUAAUAAUACUAUAAUAAUACUGAUCACAUAGACUGUCACUCUGUUGGCCUCUGUCGCGUGUCAUACAGUCACUGGCCACCAGAUGGCGCAAAACGGUCAAUUCUGCCCCUGUAUUUUUGCAUAUCUGGUUUUAUAGCCAGAUGAACGCUGGACAGUUGUGUGUGUGUGUAUAUAAUAUAUCGUGGUUAACAAGCAUAUCGGCACAAGAUAUGCUUUGUGGGAUGUUUUGUAUUCCCCCUCCCUUUAAAUAAAAGUCAUUUUGGGCAUGAGUGUAUAGGAAAC
rnacentral:lncRNA from 1 species